rnacentral:rRNA from 1 species
CCUACGGGGGGCUGCAGUCGAGAAUCAUUCACAAUGGGGGAAACCCUGAUGGUGCGACGCCGCGUGGGGGAAUGAAGGUCUUCGGAUUGUAAACCCCUGUCAUGUGGGAGCAAAUUAAAAAGAUAGUACCACAAGAGGAAGAGACGGCUAACUCUGUGCCAGCAGCCGCGGUAAUACAGAGGUCUCAAGCGUUGUUCGGAAUCACUGGGCGUAAAGCGUGCGUAGGCUGUUUCGUAAGUCGUGUGUGAAAGGCGCGGGCUCAACCCGCGGACGGCACAUGAUACUGCGAGACUAGAGUACUGGAGGGGGAACCGGAAUUCUCGGUGUAGCAGUGAAAUGCGUAGAUAUCGAGAGGAACACUCGUGGCGAAGGCGGGUUCCUGGACAUUAACUGACGCUGAGGCACGAAGGCCAGGGGAGCGAAAGGGAUUAGAUACCCUAGUAGUC